UUAACUAUUUAAUAGUACUCAGACGACACUAACAUUCAGAGUUUAGGGGUCCUCUGGCGGGCACGCUGGACGCGAAUCCAGGCGCCGAAGCGCGGCCCGCCAAAGCAACAUUCUAUAAUGAUACACAAGGGUGGGAGAUCUACCCCGAAGGGCAUGAACUCUGUAAUGAUCCUUCCGCAGGUUCACCUACGGAAA
rnacentral:misc_RNA from 1 species